GCUUAAGUAGUUUAAAUAAAAUUAUGAUUUGUGAUAUCAUAGAUAUAAUCUCUUAUCUUAGGUA
rnacentral:tRNA from 1 species